UACGGGGGGGGCAAGCGUUGUUCGGAAUUACUGGGCGUAAAGGGCUCGUAGGUGGCCAACUAAGUCAGACGUGAAAUCCCUCGGCUUAACCGGGGAACUGCGUCUGAUACUGGAUGGCUUGAGUUUGGGAGAGGGAUGCGGAAUUCCAGGUGUAGCGGUGAAAUGCGUAGAUAUCUGGAGGAACACCCGUGGCGAAAGCGGCGCGCUGGACCACUACUGACGCUGAGGAACGAAAGCUAGGGGAGCAAACAGG
rnacentral:rRNA from 1 species